AUUGAACGCUGGCGGCAUGCCUUACACAUGCAAGUCGAACGGCAGCACGGACUUCGGUCUGGUGGCGAGUGGCGAACGGGUGAGUAAUACAUCGGAACGUGCCUAGUAGUGGGGGAUAACUACUCGAAAGAGUGGCUAAUACCGCAUGAGAUCUACGGAUGAAAGCAGGGGAUCGCAAGACCUUGUGCUACUAGAGCGGCCGAUGGCAGAUUAGGUAGUUGGUGGGAUAAAAGCUUACCAAGGCUGCGAUGCAUAGCCGACCUGAGAGGGUGAUCGGCCACACUGGGACUGAGACACGGCCCAG
rnacentral:rRNA from 1 species